ACAUGUCUACAACAUAGCGUUAAUGCACUAGAUCCCAUUAGAACUCUGCAGUUAAGCAUGCUCGGGCUAGAGUAGUACUGGGAUGGGUGACCUUCUAGGAAGUCCUAGCGUUUUACAUGCC
rnacentral:rRNA from 1 species